AUGAAAAGAGUAUGCAAAGAUGAUAAAACUAUAAGUGAAAUUAAACCAUGUAAAGGUUGUGGGAAAUGGGGUGAAUGGUCCGAAUGUAUUAAUGGAAAGAGUCACAGAAUAUUAACUAAUUGUGAAUUUAUAGAAGAAGUCAAAAAUUGUGACUUAAAUAAAGCAGGAGCUAGCACAUCCAAUGAAGAGGACGGACAUAAAAAAAAAGACAAUGCUAACAAUUAUAUUGCUGUUGAAGAUAAGAAUAGUAAUUAUAUGAUAACAAAUAAACCAUUAAGUGAUAGUGAACAUAUGAAAAAACAUAAUAAGAGUAGUAAUAGUAAAUUUAUACGCAAUGGUAGUAAUUUAAAUUCUGAUACAGAUUUUGAUACCACUUUCCACCAUAAAAAUUAUAAUGAAAUAAAAAGCGAGUCGGAAAAAUCAUUAUCCGAAUUAGAUAACUUAAAAAUGGAUAUAGAUAAACAUUUUAAUAAAAAUAACAACUUGACACAACAUAAUAUAGAUAACAAAAAAAACGAAAUCGAUAAUAAUAUUGAUGAUUUAACAAAGAUAAGAAAUGACACAUAUAAUCAUUUUGAUGGUGAUGAUCAUAGUAGUAUUGGUUCUGAUAAGGAUUUACCGUCCACUAGUUUUAAAACAUUUAGUCCAAAAACAUAUUAUCCGAAUCAAAAAAAAGAGGCGAAUAGAGAUUAUACUUAUCAUAUGUUAGAAACUGAUAAAUUAAAUAAAAUAAAAGGAGAAGAAGAAGAAGAAAAAGAAGAAAAAGAAGAAAAAAAAGAAAAAAAAGAAAAAGAAAAAGAAGAAAAAGAAGAAAAAGAAGAAAAAGAAAAAGAAGAAAAAGAAGAAGUUUGUAAAGAAGGUGAUGAAAACUGUGUACGGAUUAAAAAUUUUAGCGCAGAAGAAAAACAACAGCAAAAUGAUAAUGAUGAAAAGAAACAAAACAAUAAACAACAACAUACCAAUAAUAUAUACAAAGCAUCUGGUGUAGCAGCUUUAUUAUUUAUAGGUGGAGGGGUAAGUAGUUAUGCUGCUUAUAAAUGGAGUAAAAAUAUAAAAAAUGAAACAAACAAUUUUGACAAUGAAGUGUUAUUUAAUGAAGAAAUAAAACAAAAAGAACAAAAGUCUGUAGAAGAGGAAGAGUUUUGGGGAAAUGAGUAGGUAGAUGACUUGUGGAUUAGCAUGUGGAUUAGCAUGUGGAUUAGCAUGUGGAUUAGCAUGUGGGUUAGCAUGUGGUAACAAGCAAGUGACGGACUGUGUAUAAGAAUAGAAAUAUCAACAUAUACCUUUUAAGAGUUUAUAUAUACAUAUAUAUUUACGUGUCUGAUAUUACAUAUUUUUAUAUAUUUUAAAACGCUUAAUUUUUCAUGUAAAUUAAUGCUCAUUUGGCACCGUCUUAUGUGAACAAUAAAAUAAGUGAAAAAAAAUAAAUAAAUAAAAUA
rnacentral:lncRNA from 1 species